GGAGAGGUGGCCGAGUGGUCUAAGGCGGCACCCUGCUAAGGUGCUGCACCGGGAAAACCGGUGCCGCGGGUUCGAAUCCCGCCCUCUCCGCCA
rnacentral:tRNA from 1 species